GUUGAGAACUGUUCUGCGCAUGUGUCCUGGGAUUACUAGAUUGCGCCUACUUUGUCAUCCAGUUUUAGCCAUACCCUACCUUCCUACCUCAGUAGGAUAUGAUUUGGUGAUUCUAUAUGCUAACCUGUAGAGGAGAGUCUGUAUUAGGAAAGACGUGGAGAAGAACUGCGUUUCUCCUCUGCUAUGCAUUAGAACUCUAGAUGCCGUAUGUGGAAGUUGAGCUCUCCUGCUGGAGAGGCCAUGGAAGAAAAUCAAGGUGCUCUCAUUGACAGCCCAAUUGUCAGCCAUGUGAGCAAGACUGUCCAGGUCCAACCAGCCACCAGUUGACCCACCGAGAUCUGCCAACAGAUUGGAAAUGCCACACGAGUCCAACUGAGAUCAUAUGGAGCAGAUAUGGGCUUUCCCAGCUGAACUCAGCCCAAAUUACUGACCUAAAAAGUUGAGGAUAAAUAAGUAACAGUCAUUUUAAGCUACUAAGCUUUGGGAGUGAUUUGUUACACAGUAAUAGGCCAAGCACAGAAAAGAUGAGUACCUAAGGAUCCUGAGGCUGUGUUUCAAGCAUAGAUAUACCCAUUUGCCUUUGUAUGAAGUGCUUAUUCUGAAAUUAACCACAACACAGAGCCUUUUGAGGUUAUGGUAAAUGGACACUGAGAAUUUGAAGAACUGGCUGACAACACUACAGGAAUGGGAGUGGUGCUGCAGUCUGAAGAAUUCCCCUUGAGCCUUUGUAUCUUGGUGGUAGGGAGUGACAGACAAAGAACUUUCUCUGUAUCCUGCUUUGGGUCAAAACCAAAAUGGCAAUGAAAGUGAUCUCUAUAUCCAAACAUUGUUAGAGAAGAAGAUAAAUCACUACAUCUUUUGAAACAUUGCCUGCAAGCUGCCCAGAAGUGGAUUUGAGAAUGUGUUUGGAGCCUGAGGGAAAGCAGCUUUGUACAUGAUUCUCAAUACUUGCAAUUAUUCUAAUGAUCUCCCCAGAUGAUAUGCAGGUAAGAAUCCAAAUGUCCAGCACUGUAGGUUAUUAGCAGCCAAUUCAGAUCAGAUGAGGAACCAUAAACUUACCCAUUUUGAACAUUGUGUGGCCAAUCUAAUAUUUUGCUAAAAUUUAUCUUUUUAAAUUUAAGCUGUAUGGACCAGUAAGAAAAUAAUAAUUUGUAAUUGUAGUUAUCAGAAACAAUUUUGGUGAACACGCUUCUAAUCUUUAUGGGGG
rnacentral:lncRNA from 1 species